GGGCAGCAUUUCAGUUUGCUUGCAAACUGGAGAUGGCGACCGGCGCACGGGUGAGUAACACGUAUCCAACCUGCCGAUAACUCGGGGAUAGCCUUUCGAAAGAAAGAUUAAUACCCGAUGGUAUAAUCAGACCGCAUGGUCUUGUUAUUAAAGAAUUUCGGUUAUCGAUGGGGAUGCGUUCCAUUAGGCAGUUGGUGAGGUAACGGCUCACCAAACCUUCGAUGGAUAGGGGUUCUGAGAGGAAGGUCCCCCACAUUGGAACUGAGACACGGUCCAAACUCCUACGGGAGGCAGCAGUGAGGAAUAUUGGUCAAUGGGCGCAGGCCUGAACCAGCCAAGUAGCGUGAAGGAUGACUGCCCUAUGGGUUGUAAACUUCUUUUAUAUGGGAAUAAAGUUUUCCACGUGUGGAAUUUUGUAUGUACCAUAUGAAUAAGGAUCGGCUAACUCCGUGCCAGCAGCCGCGGUAAUACGGAGGAUCCGAGCGUUAUCCGGAUUUAUUGGGUUUAAAGGGAGCGUAGGUGGACAGUUAAGUCAGUUGUGAAAGUUUGCGGCUCAACCGUAAAAUUGCAGUUGAUACUGGCUGUCUUGAGUACAGUAGAGGUGGGCGGAAUUCGUGGUGUAGCUGUGAAAUGCUUAGAUAUCACGAAG
rnacentral:rRNA from 1 species